rnacentral:rRNA from 1 species
GACAGAGGCCUCGAGCGUUAGGCGGAAUCACUGGGCUUAAAGCGUGUGUAGGCGGAUCGUUAAGUGCCUUGUGAAAUCCCACGGCUUAACUGUGGAACGGCUGGGCAUACUGGCGGUCUUGAGCCAUCUAGGGGCGACUGGAACAAACGGUGGAGCGGUGAAUGCGUAGAUAUCGUUGGAACGCCAAUGGUGAAAACAGGUCGCUGGGAUGAGCUGACGCUGAGACACGAAGCCAGGGAGGCAAACGGG